GCCGAAGUGGCGGAAUUGGCAGACGCGCCGGAUUCAAAAUCCGGUGAGGUAACACUCGUGUGGGUUCGAGUCCCACCUUCGGUA
rnacentral:tRNA from 1 species